AUUGAACGCUGGCGGCAGGCCUAACACAUGCAAGUCGAGCGGAGGAAGGGAGCUUGCUCCUGGAUUCAGCGGCGGACGGGUGAGUAAUGCCUAGGAAUCUGCCUGGUAGUGGGGGAUAACGUCCGGAAACGGGCGCUAAUACCGCAUACGUCCUGAGGGAGAAAGUGGGGGAUCUUCGGACCUCACGCUAUCAGAUGAGCCUAGGUCGGAUUAGCUAGUUGGUGGGGUAAAGGCCUACCAAGGCGACGAUCCGUAACUGGUCUGAGAGGAUGAUCAGUCACACUGGAACUGAGACACGGUCCAGACUCCUCCGGGAGGCAGCAGUGGGGAAUAUUGGACAAUGGGCGAAAGCCUGAUCCAGCCAUGCCGCGUGUGUGAAGAAGGUCUUCGGAUUGUAAAGCACUUUAAGUUGGGAGGAAGGGCAGUAAGUUAAUACCUUGCUGUUUUGACGUUACCAACAGAAUAAGCACCGGCUAACCUCGUG
rnacentral:rRNA from 1 species